GUCCAACCUAAAUUGGCUAAUACAUAUUUAAUGUUCAAUGUCAACAUCUCUAUUCCAUUCAUCGAGGCAGAAUUUUAUUGAUUUUGCUAUUUGUGUGAGCCCAAGUGGGAAUGAAUUGUCUGCAAAUAAGGAGUAUCCUCUUACAUCUACUCAAAGGAAGGAGCUUGAAAGACAAGCCAUGAUCUAUAGGGUUUAUUAGCACAAAACAUCCCUACAUUUGGCCUUUAGUGUGCAAAGGUACCCUGCAUUUCAAAUUUUUGCAAUUUUCACCCGUGUGCCUGUUGAUCCUCUCUUUCCUGUACCACCAAGACCUUCAAUUUUCUAUAAAUCGGUUCUUAUUUUUCUUCGAUGAUUUGUUAUUUUUACACUUUUGGUACUCGAUUAGAUGUUGAUUUAAAAAGAUGUAUCUUGGUAUUGGUAUUCAAGUGCAGUGACUGGUCAUCUAGAAAGGUGCAAGUGAAUGGAUGGAAAGAAAUGGAGGUUCUCAAGAGAUGUAGCGCCCUAUCACAAGUACUAUGAGUGCCACUUGUAGAAAAGUUGUCCCCAUUCAAGAAUGCCUGUGGAAGUCAAGAACAACGACAUUGACAAUAAUGAAAAGAAAAGCCCUCUUUUGUUUAAUCAUAAAACUGAUAUAAGCAUUUCUACAUCCUCUAGUAAGAAAUAUAAGAGAUUGAUUUUUAGUAUUUCUACAUCCUCUUGUAUUUCCCAAACUAUUUCCUAGUUUCGUUUCAUGAUGAGGGUAAGG
rnacentral:lncRNA from 1 species